rnacentral:lncRNA from 1 species
ACACGGAUCUACGGAGGCCCCGGCACACUCAGUUACACCGUGGCGGUCACCCUCAGAGCCACAUACAUACAGGAUUAAGGAGGCAAAUGAGCACAGACAGGCAAAUACCCUCAAGGACAACCAGAGACAGAGACACCUCCGGCACACCGAGGGACACGCCCAGGCACAGGCCGAGCCUCCUCAGCAUUUCUCCAGUUCUGGCUUGACCUACGGUGGGGGGAGGCAUCAGUUACCGUCACUCCAGUUCUGCCCUGGUCCAACUGGUAAGGCGGGGGUGUGGAGUGUGCUGAGGACAGAAGGGAGGGGAGAAGUGGCACAGGAAGGGUUACACCUCCCCAUACCUUGAUCCCAGUCCCAGAGCCCCCCUUUCACUGCAGCCUCCUCGACCCCCUACCCUCUCAGCCCGCUGUUUUAAUUGGCAUGGAGGGGCGUGGCGGUAUCCUGGGCGGGGGGGGGGAGGGGGGAACCAGCAGAGGGUUUGCAGGUAGAGGCUGUGGGAGGGGAGCCCUAAUGGGGGUGUGUGGGGGGGAGCCAGGCGGUUGCCUAGCAACUCCACAGCUGUCUGUUGACCUAGAAGAAGCUGCGCUGUCUUGACACAGCUGGUGUUUACAUGUAACCGAGGCUCUGGCUUACCGCUUGCUUGGAGGAAAGCUGAGGCAGUGCCCUGGUGGCAGCCUGGCCCUGGCCCCCCAGCUGUGGUGGGCUCCGUGCCUGCCUGACCUCUUUGCUUCAGUUUCCUCCUCAAGUCCAGUGGGAGAGAGAUUAGGAAGGUGGAUCUCAGAGCUGGAGGCUUUGGGGCUGGGGAAAGUUGAUGUAUCUAGGCACACACACAAAACCCCAGGCCUUCAACACAGAAGCGGUAGGAGACUACAAGAGGGCUGGGGGACAGGGGUGCCCAGUUUGUGCGCAGAUUUCAACCCACACAGACAACUCCAACAUUCUCAGGGACAUGUGGACACACAGACCCAGGAAAUAAAACCAACACAGGCACAGAGAUGGCCAUUGACUUAAAGACAUCCAGGCAGACACACAAACACACAGAAAUGCAGUAAUCAAGUGACUGAAACCCCAACACACAGAUAUACCCACUGACCUCUGGACACAGAGGACAGGCACUGACCCUCUGACAGAGACACAGACUGCAACACGCUGACACACUGAAACCCCCAUAUGGUAACGCCAGAAGCUCUCACACUAACGGUUCAUUCCAGCUAGAAUGUGCAGGUCUGCGUUAUGAAAGGGAGAAAUCAGUCCCCCAUAUGGAGGCACCCACACGCACACAGAAAAACAUACAACUCCCCAAACUUUUGUUGAUUGCCCACAAUGCUUUAAAGGCAGGCAGUCACUGGCACCACUGACAUAAGCAAAGACACACCCAAGAGCCCAACAUGUGAAGAGACACUGGUCCCUGAAGGACCAUGGGCCCUGACAUGUCCCACCCGCACCCACACAAACACAUGCCGGCCUAGGGUGUGGGCAGAGCUGAGACUCCUCCCUGCCCACAAUUCCUGAGUAGCAGCAGAUGUGCCUUGGGGUCAGAGGGCCCUUGUGGCCCCAGGACCAUCUCUAGAUGAACCCAUACAGCUUGGGCUGCAGCAGCUCUUUCCCUGAGAGCCCCCAACAGAAGGGAAAGAUACAGCCCAUCCCCAGGAGUCCCCUGUCUGAAUUGUUCGCUCUCUCUCUCUCUUUUUUUUUUUUUUUGUCUCUUUAGGGCCACACCCUUGGCAUACGGAAAUUCCCAGGCUAGGGGUUAAAUUGGAGCUACAGCUGCCGGCCUACACCACAACUGAAGAAACUCAGGAUCCAAGCCUCAUCGCGUCUGCAACCUACACCACAGCUCAGAGCAACACCGGAUCCUUAACCCCCUGAGAGAGGCCAGGGAUUGAACCUACAUCCUCAUGGAUGCUAAUAGGGUUCGUUACUGCUGAGCCACGAUGGGAACUCCCCCUGUCUGAAUCUCUGUCUUCCCAAGUCCCUGCCUGAACUGACAGAACAGGCACUGUCCUGCCCAGAUGGACCCCGGGCCGAUGGAGGCCCUAUCUCCCUUCCAGGCAGUUCUGGACACCAUCGACAGACACACAUACACACACACCAGCAUGUGGCAGCUCCUGGGGGUGUCUGGAGGGCUUCCUGGCAGAGGUGAGCCUGGGGCCUGGUUUUGGAGGCCAAGAGGAAGGAGGAGGGAGUGUGCGAAAAGGACCUUCUUAUCUUGCCCCACACCCCGCCCCUCACCCAGCAGUUCCUCCUCCCCCCAGGGCCCAAGGGGCCUGCUGGGGCCCCACAGCCCCAUCAGCCCAAGCAGUGAGCAGGAGGAGGAGAGCGGAUAUUUUUAGCUUCUCUGCCACUGACAUUUCGCAGCAGGCGACCUGGGGUGAAGCUGAGUGAGUGCUGAAGGCUGGGAGAAGCCGACAGCGCCUUCCCCGCCCCCGUGCACAUGCACACGGCCACGUCCCCCAACACUCCCAAGGCACACCUAAGAGGCACAGCUUCAGUUACACGGUUAUGUGCCGAUCUAGACACACACACACACACACACACACACGCACGCACCUGUGUACACACUUGGUUCAUGUGCCACAUAUGCCUAAAACCUCACAUACCUGCAUACACAUAAAAUGUACCCAUUCACACACCCAGAGACAUGCACACAUAAUUCAGACAUAUAGCACACUUCUCACACCUAGUCAAGCGUGCACAUGCUCGCUCAUUAUUCAUUCAAGAAAUAAGAUUCAGU